GUCCACGCUGUAAACGAUGAAUACUUGGUGUUGAUCCCAUUGGGAUCAGUGCCGAAGCUAACGCAUUAAGUAUUCCACCUGGGGAGUACGAUCGCAAGGUUGAAACUCAAAGGAAUUGACGGGGGCCCGCACAAGCAGUGGAGCAUGUGGUUUAAUUCGAUGCAACGCGAAGAACCUUACCUAGGCUUGAAAAGCAAAGUGACAGGGUAUGAAAGUACCCCUCAGCAAUGGCACUUGUACAGGUGCUGCAUGGGCUGUCGU
rnacentral:rRNA from 1 species